UACGGGGGGGGCAAGCGUUAUUCGGAAUUAUUGGGCGUAAAGGGCGCGUAGGCGGCCAUGCGUGUCUUCCGUGAAAUCCCUCGGCUCAACCGAGGACGUGCGGAAGAAACUGCAAGGCUCGAGUCCGGAAGAGGGGGGCGGAAUUCCCAGUGUAGCGGUGAAAUGCGUAGAGAUCAGGAGGAACACCCGUGGCGAAGGCGGCCUUCUGGGUCCGCCCUGACGCUGAGGCGCGAAAGCCAGGGGAGCAAACGGG
rnacentral:rRNA from 1 species